UGUCAGCGUCUCGGCGCGUAUCAGCUACACAGGCGGGCGCAGCGCCUACUCGCAGAAAGUGCCACGACUCCAAAAGUCAACGGCGAUUCAUAAUCAUUGAAUUAUUUGACAGCAGUAUCUGGAUUAGGAGGGACAAGACUGAGCAAAGAUGGAUGUAUAUGACCCUCAAACUCUUGGAAUCAUGGUGUUUGGUGGCUUCAUGGUCUUCUCUGCCAUUGGCAUCACACUCGUCUCCACUUUUUCCAUGAAGGAGACAUCUUACGAAGAAGCCCUGGCCAAACAACAACAAGAGUCAGGCAAGACCCCAACCCAACGUUCUGACAAGAAGAAAAAGGCAUCUGAGAAGAAAAACAAGGCCAGAAAGAAGGAGGACAAACCCGAUGGAAAACUUCCAGAAUCUGAGCCUGAGUCCAGCCCUGAACCUGAACAUGUCAUCGAAAUCAGUGAACCAGAACCAGCACCCCAACUAGAACCAGAAACCCAACCUGAAUCUGUGACCAUUCCCAAGCCUGAAGUUACACCCAAGCCACCUGUACCUGAACCAGUUCUAGUUCCUGAGGUUGCUAAGUCCACUUCUCCACCUAAUGUAAGUGCUGUGGUGGCCCCAUCUGCUCCUUCCCCAAAGGAGAAGAAGAAGAAGAAGGUAGCCAAGGUGCAACCAGCCCCUGGCAAGACAGUAGAGGUCCCAGAGGUUGUAGUUAAAGAGGAACCAGUGGUCGCCAAGGUGGCUGUGAAAGCAGAGGUCGCUCCUGAUGUAAUUGCUCCCCCUAAGGCUGAAGAACCCAAGCUAGAACCCAAACCUGAAGCUCCAACCAAGAAGAAGUCCAAGAAGAAGGCUGACCCAGUGGUAACUGUAGAGAUGUACGAUGCCCCCCUGCUGUCACCAUUUAAAACCCUGGUCUCCAGUCUGAACAAUGCAUCGUUUAAUGAAUCAGAGAUGCAGAAACUCUUGGAGAUAAUCAGCAAGAAGGCAGGAGAAGACUCCUGGCAACUGGCAUCUCAGAAGGGAGACCCACUGGCAGCAUUGAAGAAACAGCUUGAGGACAAGGAAAAGCAGUUGACUGCUGAGCAGGAAAACAUAGCUGCAGCCAAGACACGCAUCCGCGAGCUUACCAAGGAGCUGAGUUCUGCAAAGAGCAAGAUGACAUCUGUUGAGACCCGUAUGAGCUCAGAGCUACACGCCCGUGGGCAGGAGAUCGCUACUCUACAGGCUCGUAUGCAGUCAUCCUACCAGGAGCACGUCCUUGAGACACAGCAGCUUAACAGCAAGAUCCAAAGCCUGCUAGAGCAAUUUGAGAAUGGACCAAAUGCUCAACUAGCCCGUCUGCAGCAAGAGAACUCCAUUCUCAGAGAUGCCCUCAACCAAGCCACCAGCCAGGCGGAGAGCAGGCAGAAUGCAGAGUUAGCAAAGUUGCGUCAGGACUGUGUGCGUCUCAACCAAGAGCUGAAUGACCGCACAGUUGCUCAGCAUGCAGCGGAAGAGCGCAGUAAAGCUCUGGAAACCAAGAUGGUGGCAGCAGAAGAACAGCUAGCACAAACACAAGCAAACCGUGUGGAGGCUGAGCAGGUUCUGCAGCAGAAGCUGGAUAGAGUCAGUGAUGAGCUCCGUCAGGCUCAGGAUAACAGCACCACCCUACAUGCUCAACUAGAUGGAGCAAAAGAGCAAACAAAGACCCUUACUGAGCUCCAGGAGCAUAUGCAAGUUACAGAGGCAGAUCUGAAGGACAGAUGUGAAGAACUGGAGCUGCUGAGAGCACAGCUGUCUCAAACAACAAAGAGCGCUGUGGAGACAGAAGCCCCUGAGACUCAGAGGGACAAUUCAGAGGAGGUUGAACAACUGAAAAGCAGUGUGAGCAGUCUGAAAGAGAGGGAGGAUCAGCAGACAUCACUGGAGGCGGAGCUUAUGCAGCUGAGGGAGGAGCUUGAAACAGUACAGAAGGCUCAAUCUGAGGCAGCUCAGAAUAGGAAAAAUGAGGCAGAGACAGAGAGGAGAGAAUACACAGCUGAGAUCGAACUGCUGAAAACUAGUCUGAAAGAAAAGGAGGAUUUGGUGGCAUGCCUGCAGGCUCAAAUGGAGAAGAUGGGAAGUACAGAAACGGUUGAAGCAGAGCCACCGUUUGAGAAUCUGGAAAAGGACGCCCACAUGAUCUCACUGGAGGAGGAGCUUCAGCAGAUGAAAGAAGAAAUGGAGCGAAUGAAGACCAAGAGCAAUGAACUGCGGGAAAAGAACUACACCGCGGUGGAGGCUCUGGCCGCUGCUGAGAGGCUGAGUGAAGAAAGACUGAGCCAGGCCAGGGCCGCACAGAAUGAGGUAGAGCAGAAACUGAGUUCUUUCCAGACAGACGCCAGAAACGCCCUCCAGACACUCUUUCCUCACAUCACCAUUGAAACACAUCAGAGUAACUGGCUGGAAGCAUUCACACAUGAAGCACAGGCGAGCCUCACACACAGUCAACAGAGUCCAACAGAACAGCAGACAGAAACAUCAAGCAAAGAACUGACGGAACUGCAACAUAAGCUCGCCCAAUCAGAGGAGAGUCAAAGGUCACUGCAUGCUGAGUGUGAGCAGUACAGAUCCACUCUCAGUAAAACGGAGAGCAUGCUGAAAGUUCUGCAGAAUAGUGUGGAUGACGGGGAGCUCGUGUGGAAUUCAAAGAUCUCAGAUGCAGAAGAGCAGAAGCAGGCAGCCCUGGAUCAGGUGAAGGUGCUAAAGGAGACGAUAGAGACUAUGAAAGCGGAGAGACAGGAUACAGAUCAGCUGAAGGGUCAGGUGAUGCUGCUGGAGGCACAGCUGGAGAAACAGCUGGAGUCCAUAACCAUCAGCCAGACUUAUGCAGAAGAAAUGUCUCAGAUGAAGGCAUUGUUAUCAGAAACUCAGAGCCAGCUGGAAUUAUCCAAAGCAGAGGCUCAGAAACAGAAAGCAGAAUUUUUAUUGGUCAGACAGGAGCUGCAGUAAGUGACUCACAUGCAUACGGAAUGAGGAGAGCACACAGUCCACUCAGGUCAGGCUAGUGGAUGGCACUCUGGUCAGAUUUACAGGAACCACCAAACACAAACACAUACACCUGUUACCACUAUUAACAAUGAAAUAAGCCCAGAGAGUGAUUAAUGGUCAAAGUUAAAGCUGAUAUGUGCAAUUUCUUUCUUUCCCAUAUCCCAGCCUAAUAUACAGAGUCAGCUCUAAGUAAGCCAUUUGUUGAAAAGGAAUAACGUCCAGUCCCUGUGUCGCUGUUCUGUCGUGUUUGGUGAUUCCCUUCAAAUUUGAAGCCCUACUGGUUGGCAUUAACCUUGAUGUGUGUGUGUGUGUAUUAGUAUCUGUUGCAGUGGCAAUAUCUAACCUUUCCUCUCCCAUUGUCGGUUGAAUAUUCUGUUUUUUGCAUCUUAUGCUCUUUGUUACUUAUAAAAGACCUAUGGUAAAGGACAGACUAAUGGUUGAGGGUAUUUUAUUUUUAUUUAUUGUAUUUUUUAUUAUCAUUUAUAAGUUUGCUAGAUUGCAGCCACCUGACCUGAAGACAUCUUUUUGGAGUACUUUUUGUCUUUAUUCAUUUCUAACUUCAUCUCUUCUGCUGUUACAGGAUGAAGUCAUAUCCUAACCCAUGUCAUCAUCAUCAUCACUAAACACCAUAUGUACAUGUACAUGCUGUUGUGUUUGUUUACUGGGAUCAAUAGCUGGCUUGUAUCUCACUCGCUGUUCAUCUUUACUGGUACAGACGCAGCUGGAGGAGGCAACGAAUAAACUGCAGACAAAAGAGGACAUUAGGCAGCAGCUAGCAAAUGACUACGAACAGGCACAGAAGUGUGUGCGGUAUCUUGAGGUCCGGUUAGAACAGUUAAAAGCUGCAGAAGAGGGAGCAACUGA